rnacentral:rRNA from 1 species
UACGAAGGGGGCUAGCGUUGUUCGGAAUUACUGGGCGUAAAGCGCUCGCAGGCGGAUUGAUAAGUCGGGGGUGAAAUCCCGGGGCUCAACCUCGGAAUUGCCUUCGAUACUGUCAGUCUUGAGUCCGGGAGAGGUGAGUGGAAUUCCUAGUGUAGAGGUGAAAUUCGUAGAUAUUAGGAAGAACACCAGUGGCGAAGGCGGCUCACUGGCCCGGAACUGACGCUCAUGAGCGAAAGCGUGGGGAGCAAACAGG